rnacentral:rRNA from 2 species
UAAUUGAAGAGUUUGAUCAUGGCUCAGAUUGAACGCUGGCGGCAGGCCUAACACAUGCAAGUCGAGCGGCAGCACAGAGGAACUUGUUCCUUGGGUGGCGAGCGGCGGACGGGUGAGUAAUGCCUGGGAAAUUGCCCGGUAGAGGGGGAUAACCAUUGGAAACGAUGGCUAAUACCGCAUAACCUCGCAAGAGCAAAGCAGGGGACCUUCGGGCCUUGCGCUACCGGAUAUGCCCAGGUGGGAUUAGCUAGUUGGUGAGGUAAGGGCUCACCAAGGCGACGAUCCCUAGCUGGUCUGAGAGGAUGAUCAGCCACACUGGAACUGAGACACGGUCCAGACUCCUACGGGAGGCAGCAGUGGGGAAUAUUGCACAAUGGGCGCAAGCCUGAUGCAGCCAUGCCGCGUGUAUGAAGAAGGCCUUCGGGUUGUAAAGUACUUUCAGUAGGGAGGAAGGUGGUUAAG